rnacentral:tRNA from 1 species
UGGGCUGGGGCUCAGUGGUAGAGCGCUCACCUCACACGUGCGAGACCCUGGGUUUGAUCCUCGGCACCACAU